rnacentral:tRNA from 1 species
UUUUUUUGGUCAAGUGGAAAGAUUUUUUGUUUCACUCCCAAAAAGGUCAAAGGUUCGAGUCCAUUUGCAGAGAAA